AGAGGUUGACGUGGCUCACAAACGCUGGUGGCGUGCCUAACGCUUGCUAGUCGGACGCAAAGCUUCUGUGUAGAGUGGCGCACGGGUGAGUAACGCGUAAGUAAUCUACCUCUGGAUUGGGGAUAACUCUGCGAAAGCGGAGCUGAUACCGAAUGCUGGCUUUGUUUUGUGAUAAGGAUGCUUGCAUAUGCAUCUGUCCGGAGAUGAGCCUGCGUCCCAUUAGCUAGUUGGUAGGGUAAAGGCCUACCAGGCGACGAUGGGUAGCUGGUCUGACAGGAUGAUCCGCCACACUGGAACUGGAACACGGUCCAGACUCCUACGGGAGGCAGCAGUGGGAAUAUUGGGCAAUGGGCGCAAGCCUGACCCAGCAUCGCCGUGUGAGGGAGGUUCGUCGACCUCUGUCAGACGGGCGAAUAGACCUUCAGAGGAAGCACCGGCAACUCCGUGCCAGCAGCCGCGGUAGUACGGAGGAUCCGAGCGUUAUCCGGAUUUAUUGGGUUUAAAGGGUGCGCAAGCGGUAGAUUACAUCGGCGGCGAAAUGUUGCACCUCAGCUGUAAAAGUGCCAUCGAUACUGGUUUUCUAGAGUGAGGAUGAAGUAGGCGGAAUUUGUGGUGUAGCGGCGAAAUGCAUCGAUAUCACAAGGAACACCGACUGCGCAGGCAGCUUAAUAACCCUAACUGACGCUCAGGCAAGAAGGCGUGGGGAGCAAACAGGAUCAGAUACCAUGGUAGUCCACGCAGUAAACGAUGACUGCUAGCCGUAUGCGAUACAUGUAAGCGGUUGAGCGAAAGCGUUAAGUCAUCCACCUGGUGAGUACGUUCGCAAGAAUGAAACUCAAAGGAAUUGACGGGGGCCCGCACAUGCGGAGGAACAUGCGGUUUAAUUGGAUGAUCCGUGAGGAGCCUGACCUGGGCAAAUGCAUGUGACCGCCCUUGAAAGAGGCCUUAGAUUGAGGUGCUGCAUGGUUGUGGUCAGCUCGUCCCGUGAGGUGUCGGCGUAAGUGCCAUAACGAGCGCAACCCUCAUCAUCAGUUACCAUCAGGUAAGGCUGGGGACUGUAAUGAGACCGCCAUCGUAUGAUGGAGGAAGGUGGGGAAGACGUCAAAUCAGCACGGCCCUGACGUCCGGGGCGACACACGUGUUUCAAUGGGUGGUACAAAGGGCAGCUACCUGGCGACAGGACGCUAUCUCCAAAACCACUCUCAGUUCGGAUCGGAGUCAGCAACUCGACUCCGUGAAGCUGGAUUCGCUAGUAAUCGCGCAUCAGCCACGGCGCGGCGAAUACGUUCCCGCGCCUUGACACACCCCGUC
rnacentral:rRNA from 1 species